rnacentral:ribozyme from 1 species
UGCUCACCAACUCUUAUCCCUACCUUCUCGUGGUACUGGCCAGAGUACGAGCAACCUUAGGGAAGAUCAAGUAACCAAACCUGGUGGGAAUUUUGAUCGUAUGCUGACAGGGAAGG